rnacentral:rRNA from 1 species
AUUGAACGCUGGCGGCAGGCUUAACACAUGCAAGUCGAGCGGAGUGAUGGUGCUUGCACUAUCACUUAGCGGCGGACGGGUGAGUAAUGCUUAGGAAUCUGCCAUUUAGUGGGGGACAACAUUCCGAAAGGAAUGCUAAUACCGCAUACGUCCUACGAGAGAAAGCAGGGGAUCUUCGGACCUUGCGCUAAAUGAUGAGCCUAAGUCGGAUUAGCUAGUUGGUGAGGUAAUGGCUCACCAAGGCGACGAUCCGUAACUGGUCUGAGAGGAUGAUCAGUCACACUGGAACUGAGACACGGUCCAGACUCCUACGGGAGGCAGCAGUGGGGAAUAUUGGACAAUGGGCGAAAGCCUGAUCCAGCCAUGCCGCGUGUGUGAAGAAGGUCUUCGGAUUGUAAAGCACUUUAAGUUGGGAGGAAGGGCAGUAAGUUAAUACCUUGCUGUUUUGACGUUACCGACAGAAUAAGCACCGGCUAACUUCGUGCCAGCCGCCGCCGUAACAC